CCUACGGGGGGCAGCAGUGGGGAAUAUUGGGCAAUGGGCGCAAGCCUGACCCAGCAACGCCGCGUGAAGGAAGAAGGCUUUCGGGUUGUAAACUUCUUUUCUCAGGGACGAAGCAAGUGACGGUACCUGAGGAAUAAGCCACGGCUAACUACGUGCCAGCACCCGCGGGAAUACGUAGGCGGCAAGCGUUAUCCGGAUUUACUGGGUGUAAAGGGCGUGUAGGCGGGACUGUAAGUCAGAUGUGAAAACCACGGGCUCAACCUGUGGCCUGCAUUUGAAACUGUAGUUCUUGAGUGCUGGAGAGGCAGACGGAAUGCCUGGUGUAGCGGUGAAAUGCGUAGAGAUUAGGAGGAACACCGGUGGCGAAGGCAGUCUACUGGACAGCAACUGACGCUGAGGCGCGAAAGCGUGGGGAGCAAACAGGAUUAGAUACCCUAGUAGUC
rnacentral:rRNA from 1 species